rnacentral:lncRNA from 1 species
AUGCCAAGGAUGCUUUCAAAAAACCUCUUACCCCACUACCCCUUCGGCAGCAGCCCUGCAGCUUGACAAACUCCACUGGAACGCUUGUCUGCUUUUAAAAUGUCUUGAAUAUAUUGCAUGUAUUGGCCUGUCAUUGGUUUUCUCAAGCCCCCGCGAUACAGAGGGGUCUGCUGGGAGCAGUGUGGAAAUCCUUAAGUGAUGCUUUCCAGUUGACAGGACUGGAGGGCAGGCACUACCUGCUGUUAGGGGAGAAAGUCAACCCAGUUAUUAAUCCAUCAGCCAGAGGCUAAUGCAGAAUUGUUCCCCCACAGUGCUGCUUUCCAGUGCUUUGUCCAUUUAUGCCUGUGCUGGUGAAGGCCCUUCCCCUGCCUGCCUUCCCCCUUAGGAGCAUCCUUCUGAGAUGCAUUCUUCCUACCCUGGCAAUGCCUGGGAGUGCACAAAGCCUUUUUCUGUCUCCAGAUGUAACAGGUGGCAUAAAGAAGGCACAAAUGUAGCAAGGAUGAUCUAAAACAAUAAACUCCACCUGGCCUUAAUUUCCUACACCCCACUGCAACAGGAGUUUUGGAAACUCAAGGGAGGAGGACACAUGGAAGACUGAUGCUCAGGUGCGGAGCGAGCAGGAGUCAGGAUCUCCCUGUGCAUUGCCACUGAUGGUGUUUACAGAUCUGUGUUCUGCAGUUGAAUCCAGCUUGAGAGGCCAUCACCACAUGAAACAGGUUUUCCCCUCUGAAAAACCCACCGAAGACCAAGAACCCCAGUUCACACAAUGCUUUUGGCAUCAGUGGACUCCUCCUUACCACACAUCGAGCAACUCUGCAGCAGCAUGGCAGCUCUGCAUCCUGGCACAAUCAAGUGUGAAGGUGUAGGGACAUCAAGAAAAGCAAGCUGCAUGUUCCUCCCCCUUGGCUCGCCUCUCCUAGCACUGCGAGACACAGAAGUUGAAAGUUAAGCUUUUGAGUUACCAGCAAUUUCCACUUUGGUGCAUUAUUGCCUUUGCUGCAGUGCUUUUAUAAGGCUGUUUAUAAGACAAUAGACAAUGGGAGAAGUUGCUGGGGUUCCCAGUAGACAUAUGUUGACAAUAAACCCCUGUAACAGAGGUCA